UACAGAGGGGGCAAGCGUUAUUCGGAAUUACUGGGCGUAAAGCGCGCGUAGGCGGCUGGAUAAGUCGAUUGUGAAAGCCCCGGGCUCAACCUGGGAAUUGCAGUCGAGACUGUUCGGCUAGAGUGUGGGAGAGGGCAGUGGAAUUCCCGGUGUAGCGGUGAAAUGCGUAGAUAUCGGGAGGAACAUCAGUGGCGAAGGCGACUGCCUGGCCCAACACUGACGCUGAGGUGCGAAAGCGUGGGUAGCAAACAGG
rnacentral:rRNA from 1 species